AAAGGUUUCGGAUACAACGUACGGUGGAUACUUAUCUUCCCGAUACUUAUCUUUCUUUCCCUCUCACCGCCCCUGUCUAGCCUAUUCCGUUGCCGCUGCUCCCGGCAGAUCCGUCGCCGCCUCCACCUGCAAGUUGCUCGACGGCGGCACAUCUGUCGACGCCUCUACCUGCGAGUCCUCCCUGCAGAUCCGUCGCCGCUCCUACCUACACCUUCGUCGCCACCUCCCCUGCGAGUUGCUCGACGGCGGCAUAGGUGAGUUCUUUCUGCAAGCACCUCCUCCCUGCAGUCUGCAGAUCCAUCAUCGUGGAUGCUCCUUCCUGCACCUCCAUCCCAGGGAGAUGCUCCUACCUGCACCUCCGUCGCCGCCACCACCUCCCAUGCGAGUCUUCUCUCCGGUGAGCCCACCUCCUCCCGGACUAGUGCACCUCGCCCCUAACCUCACACUUUCCUUUCCCUCCCCUCCCCCCACACCCACGCUGCUGCCAGGGGCGGAUCUACACCGAGGGCUACCUGGGCUGUAGCCCUGGUCAUGGCUCAACUAUCAUCUAUAAUCCCACAAGCUAGUAAAUCACUAAAAAAUAUUAGGAUCUAGGCAGCUUUAGCCCUAGACUUUUAUCCAAAUUGACAAGGGCUAGCUAGUAUUAGCAUCUGUUAGUGUGAUUAGGUAUAUGGCAAGACAGAUUUGCCUUAUCUUGUACCCGUGUAGGUACCUCGCAUAGGCUAGCUUAGAGAUCAAGUGAGAGUGAUUAUAAUUUCCUGUAAUCAUGCGUCUGCAUACAAAGUAGUUACGAUUUCUUGCCAAUAAAAUUUAGCCCCGGUCUUGGCCAAAUCGUGGGUCUGCCACUGGCUGCUGGCGCAGAUCCCUUCCCUCCAGCAUCGAUCCCCUUUUGUACGGCUUGUGCUAAUUGGUGUGUUUUGUGUUCUAGAUGGAGAAACUAAACUUUUUUAUGUAUGUGGUUAACUUGCAUGUGCGGUUGAUUGAGAAAUUUUGAUCAGAAAUUUCCAUAUAUAUGUUCUUCAUGGAUAAAUAUUGGUUCUUGGAUGGAGAUUUCAUUGGUAUAUCAGUUCAAAUAUGUUGACAUAUCAUUGAAAAUUAUUACUAUAUCAUUGAAAUUUAUUGGUAUAGAAAAUAUCAUUAUGUCAAUUGUAUACCAUUGGGUUGAUACCACGCGAUUCUAAAGUUUUUUAGCUUUCUAAUCCAGGGGUAUGUUGCAUUGGUAUUGAUACUGAUAUUUUCUUGAUAGUGAUUUUUUUAUGGAAAGAUUGUAAGGGAACCCUACAACAUAAUUAUGAAAACCAGAAUUUGAACCCUGGUGGAUUCAUGUACCCACAAUUCCACCACCACACCAAGAUGUGUUUCUCAGUUUCUUGGUAGUGAAAUUGUGUGUUUGAUGGAGAUUUUAUUGGUAUUUCAUUGAAAUUUAUUGAUAUAGCAAUGAAAUUUCAAUUAACAAAUUGUUAUUACAUUGAUAUUUCAUUAGCAUUUCGUCGAUAUAUCACUGGAAUUUCAUGAAUAAAUUAUUACGUUGAUAUGUCGAUGAAAUUUCAAUAUUAUUGAUAUUUCACUGUUUUAAUGAAAUAGUAAUCAAUGGUAUUGAAAUAGUAAUAAUAUCCCAGUGAAACAACAAUGGUAUUGAAAUUUUGGUAUUCAACACUACACGUGGGUGGGACCCAGAUUAGGGAAUACAAAAUGAAUAAGUUCCUGGUCCUAUUGAAUACCGAGGGAAUACAUGAGAGGUACACCUGUGCUUUAUUACGUGUCAGGAGCAAACUGGAGGAUGAGACGCCGGUACAGCUGGAAACAACUUUGCGAUUUCUCUGUGCAUGUCAAGUCAUCGAUCAUUUUUAUGGUCUGCAACCACCACAAUAUAUGCAAACACUAUUGAUACGAUAUUGUAUUAGUAUUGACGCAUACUGUUAACCUUCAGAAUUAACUCGGCUGAAUGCUCAGUAUCGAGUGUCGACACAUCAUGCAGGUCAACUCGUUGAACAGGUUUUCCUUUGCACACACACGACCCUUUGUGCUCCAUGCCCUCCUAGCUUAGCUAGCAAGGCAGUGUGGCACAUCUUCUAUUUCAAAUUAGCCGACGCGCGUUUUAAUUUGACAUGGUCAUAAUUUUCAAAAAAAGAAAAUUGAAAAUAUACAUCAUUUUACUUUUGGCUUGGCUUAAUUUUACUGUCUAAGGCUCAGUUUUUUUGGAGCCUUCUCCAGAAGCUGCCCUCCAAAUUGUGUUAGGCUUACAGACUUAUUUAUGCUACACUAGUUGGAAAUUCUAACCAAAUUUUAUUGGUCGGUUUUUCCAGGAUUCUCAGAGAAGCCCCGAAACGAACUGAGCCUAAUUAACUGCACGAAUUCUGAGUUCUGGCCAUAACUUUUUGUACUGAUAUUGUGUUAAUGGUUACAAAAAUGACAGUCAAAGUGCUUUUGAAAACGAAUAUGUAUCAAUUUUGUGUAUUAUGGUUUUUCUUUUUCUCAAAUUAAUCUUGACGUAAACAGCACAAGAUUAUCUAGUCGUCAACACCUCCUCCUCGAUCUAUCGUUGGGAAUUAGCUGACGUCUCGACUUAUACAUUCUCACAUCGCAUGGCGGGCUCGGCUGCGGCGGCGGCCUUGAAGUUCACGGUGCGCCGGAAGCCUGCGGAGCUGGUGUCGCCGGCAGGGCCGACGCCGCAGGAGCUGAAGCGGAUCUCGGAAAUCGAUGACCACGACGGCCUGCGCUUCCAUGUCCCCGUAAUAUACUUGUAACUUCUUCCGUCGGCGCGACGCGGGCUGGCGGGACGACGACCCCGCCGCGGUGCUGGCGAGACGCCGUACGUGGCCUGCAGGGCGUUGGUGCAUUACUACCCGUUCGCAGGCCGGCUGAGGGAGCUCGAUGGACGCAAGCUCGCCGUGGACUGCACCGGCGAGGGCGUGCUGUUCACGGAGGCCGACGGCGACGUCCGCCUCGACCAGUCCGGCGACGACCCGCAGCCGCCGUUCCCGUGCCUCGACGAGCUCAUUUUCGACGUCCUCGGCUCCUCCGCCCUCCUCGACGACCCUCUCCUCCUCUUCUAGGUGACACGGCCGGCAUGCGGAGGCUUCGCGUUUGGUGUGCGGAUGCAGCACGCGAUGGCGGACGCGCCGGGGCUGGUGCAGUUCCUGGGCGCCGUAGCAGAGCAGGCGCGCGGCGGAGCCGACGGUGCGUCCGGUUUGGGGCCGCGAGCUCCUGGAGGCGCGCGACAACAAUGUCCAAGGCCGGGUUUCGCGAUCUCGACUUCGGGUGGGGUGGUCGGCCGGUGUACGCUGGCCCGGCGAAAGGCGGCGUCGGCGCCAUCCCGGGGUUGCCAGCUUCUUCAUCGCCUGUGAGAAUGCAAAGGCGAGGACGGCGUCCUGGUGCCCAUAUGCCUGCCCGGCCCCGCCAUGGACAAGUUCGUGGCGUAGAUGGAGAAGCUGCUGCGGCCGGCAGUCGCCGUCAAGCCCGUGCCCGUGCCGCCGCAGGAAAAACCCGACAUGUUUCUCAUGAUGAAAUCUGCGCUCUGAAACGCUUUAAGUUCAGAGUCUGUAUCGGCGUCGACAAAUCCCCAUACUGAUCUGUACUCUCUUUUCCGUUCCGUGUGCAAUACUUGUUACAGGCCUGA